ACGCUGGCGGCAGCCUAAACAUGCAAGUCGAACGGUAACAUUUCUAGCUUGCUAGAAGAUGACGAGUGGCGGACGGGUGAGUAAUGCUUGGGAACUUGCCUUUGCGAGGGGGAUAACAGUUGGAAACGACUGCUAAUACCGCAUAAUGUCUUCGGACCAAACGGGGCUUAGGCUCCGGCGCAAAGAGAGGCCCAAGUGAGAUUAGCUAGUUGGUAAGGUAACGGCUUACCAAGGCGACGAUCUCUAGCUGUUCUGAGAGGAAGAUCAGCCACACUGGGACUGAGACACGGCCCAGACUCCUACGGGAGGCAGCAGUGGGGAAUAUUGCACAAUGGGGGAAACCCUGAUGCAGCCAUGCCGCGUGUGUGAAGAAGGCCUUCGGGUUGUAAAGCACUUUCAGUUGUGAGGAAAAGUUAGUAGUUAAUACCUGCUAGCCGUGAC
rnacentral:rRNA from 1 species